rnacentral:rRNA from 1 species
UGUUUCUGUGUGAACCGAGUCAACGSAGGAGAGUAAGGAAUARGAAUGGGCGCAAGCCUGAACCAGCCAUGCCGCGGAAGGAUGACGGCCCUAUGGGUUGUAAACUUCUUUUGUACGGGAAAAAACCACCGGUCGCGUAUCGGUGCUGAUGGUACCGUAAGAAUAAGCAUCGGCUAACUCCGUGCCAGCAGCCGCGGUAAUACGGAGGAUGCAAGCGUUAUCCGGAUUCAUUGGGUUUAAAGGGUGCGCAGGCGGAGUGAUAAGUCAGUGGUGAAAGCCUACAGCUUAACUGUAGAACUGCCAUUGAUACUGUCAUUCUUGAGUAUUGUUGAGGUAGGCGGAAUGUGUCAUGUAGCGGUGAAAUGCUUAGAUAUGACACAGAACACCGAUCGCGAAGGCAGCUUACCAAGCAAUAACUGACGCUCAUGCACGAAAGCGUGGGGAUCAAACAGGAUUAGAUACCCUGGUAGUCCACGCCGUAAACGAUGAUCACUCGAUGUUGGCGAUACACAGUCAGCGUCUUAGGGAAACUAUUAAGUGAUCCACCUGGGGAGUACGGUCGUAAGAUUGAAACUCAAAGGAAUUGACGGGGGCCCGCACAAGCGGAGGAGCAUGUGGUUUAAUUCGAUGAUACGCGAGGAACCUUACCUGGGCUCGAACGUGGAAUGACAGUCGCGGAAACGUGAUCUUCUUCGGACAUUCUACGAGGUGCUGCAUGGUUGUCGUCAGCUCGUGCCGUGAGGUGUCGGGUUAAGUCCCAUAACGAGCGCAACCCCUAUCUUUAGUUGCCAUCAGGUCAAGCUGGGGACUCUAAAGAAACUGCCUACGCAAGUAGUGAGGAAGGCGGGGAUGACGUCAAAUCAGCACGGCCCUUACGUCCAGGGCUACACACGUGCUACAAUGGCCGGUACAGAGGGCAGCUACUGGGUGACCAGAUGCAAAUCUCCAAAGCCGGUCUCAGUUCGGAUCGAAGUCUGAAACUCGACUUCGUGAAGUUGGAUUCGCUAGUAAUCGCGCAUCAGCCAUGGCGCGGUGAAUACGUUCCCGGGCCUUGUACACACCGCC